rnacentral:rRNA from 1 species
UACGUAGGGGGCAAGCGUUGUCCGGAAUCAUUGGGCGUAAAGAGCGUGUAGGCGGUCCGAUAAGUCCGCUCUGAAAGCCCGGGGCUCAACCCCGGGAGGCGGGCGGAUACUGUCGGGCUAGAGUCCGGAAGAGGCAAGUGGAAUUCCUGGUGUAGCGGUGAAAUGCGCAGAUAUCAGGAGGAACACCGAUGGCGAAGGCAGCUUGCUGGGACGGUAUUGACGCUGAGACGCGAAAGCGUGGGGAGCAAACAGG